rnacentral:rRNA from 1 species
GAUGAAUGCUGGCGGCGUGCCUAACACAUGCAAGUCGAGCGGCAGCGAGGGGUGCUUGCACCCUGUCGGCGAGCGGCGAACGGCUGAGUAACGCGUAGGAAUUUGCCCCAAAGUGAGGAAUAACUGCCCGAAAGGGUAGCUAAUGCCGCAUAUGGUCUUCGGAUUAAAGGAUUUAUCCGCUUUGGGAGAGGCCUGCGUUGGAUUAGGUUGUUGGUAGGGUAAUGGCCUACCAAGCCGACGAUCCAUAGCUGGUCUGAGAGGAUGAUCAGCCAGACUGGAACUGAGACACGGUCCAGACUCCUACGGGAGGCAGCAGUGAGGAAUCUUCCACAAUGGGCGAAAGCCUGAUGGAGCAACGCCGCGUGAAGGAUGAAGGCCUUCGGGUUGUAAACUUCUUUUAUGAGUGAAGAAUAUGACGGUAACUCAUGAAUAAGCACCGGCUAACUACGUG